ACUUAAAUAAUUUAAAAAAAAAAUAUUGAUUUGUGGUAUCAAAAAUGUGAAAUUAUUAGUCAUUUUAAGUU
rnacentral:tRNA from 2 species